rnacentral:rRNA from 1 species
UACGUAGGGGGCAAGCGUUGUCCGGAUUUAUUGGGCGUAAAGAGCGUGUAGGCGGCCAUGCAGGUCCGUUGUGAAAACUCGAGGCUCAACCUCGAGACGCCGAUGGAAACCGCAUGGCUAGAGUCCGGAAGAGGAGAGUGGAAUUCCUGGUGUAGCGGUGAAAUGCGCAGAUAUCCGGAAGAACACCCGUGGCUAAGGCGGCUCUCUAGUACGGUACUGACGCUGAGACGCGAAAGCGUGGGGAGCGAACAGG